UACGUAGGUGGCAAGCGUUGUCCGGAAUUCUUGGGCGUAAAGCGCGCGCAGGCGGUUCUUUAAGUCUUAUGUGAAAGCCCCCGGCUCAACCGGGGAGGGUCAUUGGAAACUGGGGAACUUGAGUGCAGAAGAGAAGAGCGGAAUUCCACGUGUAGCGGUGAAAUGCGUAGAGAUGUGGAGGAACACCAGUGGCGAAGGCGGCUCUUUGGUCUGUAACUGACGCUGAGGCGCGAAAGCGUGGGGAGCAAACAGG
rnacentral:rRNA from 1 species